rnacentral:rRNA from 1 species
UCGUGUCGUGAGAUGUUCGGUUAAGUCCGGCAACGAGCGCAACCCACAUCCUUAGUUGCCAGCAGUUCGGCUGGGCACUCUAGGGAAACUGCCCGUGAUAAGCGGGAGGAAGGUGUGGAUGACGUCAAGUCCUCAUGGCCCUUACGGGUUGGGCUACACACGUGCUACAAUGGCAGUGACAAUGGGUUAAUCCCAAAAAACUGUCUCAGUUCGGAUCGCAGUCUGCAACUCGACUCCAUGAAGUCGGAAUCGCUAGUAAUCGUGGAUCAGAAUGCCACGGUGAAUACGUUCCCGGGCCUU